rnacentral:rRNA from 1 species
UAUGGAAAAGCCGGUACAAGCGUAUAGCAGUCAUGCAGGCAAAACCGCAUGAAAAAUGUAAAGCGUUAUGUGGAUCGAACAUUAGUAGAGAAGCGUGUGAGUCAGCUGCCAAGAAAAGCCGCUAUUGUUUCAUAAGUACCCGUACCGUAAACCGACACAGGUGGAUGAGGAGAGAAUCCUAAGGCCGGCGGGAGAGGUGUUGUUAAGGAACUCGGCAAAAUGACUCCGUAACUUCGGGAGAAGGAGUGCCACAGAGAUGUGGCCGCAGAGAAAUGGCCCAAGCAACUGUUUAGCAAAAACACAGGUCUAUGCAAAACCGAAAGGUGAGGUAUAUGGGCUGACGCCUGCCCGGUGCUGGAAGGUUAAGAGGAGAGGUUAGAGCAAUCGAAGCUUUGAAUUUAAGCCCCAGUAAACGGCGGCCGUAACAAUAACGGUCCUAAGGUAGCGAAAUUCCUUGUCGGGUAAGUUCCGACCCGCACGAAAGGCGUAAUGAUUUGGGCACUGUCUCAACAACACACCCGGUGAAAUUGAAAUACCAGUGAAGAUGCUGGUUACCUGCGCCAGGACGGAAAGACCCCAUGGAGCUUUACUCCAGUUUGAUACUGGGAUUCGGUACUGUCUGUACAGGAUAGGUGGGAGGCUAGGAAAUGGUGACGCCAGUUGCCAUGGAGCCAACCUUGGGAUACCACCCUUACAGUACUGGGUUUCUAACCUGCAGCCGUAACCCGGCUGGGGGACAAUGUCUGACGGGGAGUUUGACUGGGGCGGUCGCCUCCGAAAGAGUAUCGGAGGCGCUCAAAGGUUCCCUCAGAACGGUUGGAAACCGUUCGAAGAGUGCAAAGGCAGAAGGGAGCUUGACUGCGACACCGACGGGUGGAGCAGAUACGAAAGUAGGACUUAGUGAUCCGGUGGUAUAAAGUGGGAUUGCCAUCGCUCAACGGAUAAAAGCUACCCUGGGAUAACAGGCUUAUCACUCCCAAGAGUUCACAUCGACGGAGUGGUUUGGCACCUGAUGUCGGCUCAUCGCAUCCUGGAGCUGUAGCAGGUUCCAAGGGUUGGGCUGUUCGCCCAUUAAAGCGGUACGCGAGCUGGGUUCAGAACGUCGUGAGACAGUUCGGUCCCUAUCCGGCGUGGGCGUAGGAUAUUUGAGAGGAGCUGUCCUUAGUACGAGAGGACCGGGAUGGACAAACCUCUGGUGUAUCUGUUGUUUUACCAAAGGCAUGGCAGAGUAGCCAAGUUCGGCAGGGAUAAACGCUGAAGGCAUCUAAGCGUGAAGCCCCCCUCAAGAUAAGAUAUCCCAUCUUCGGAGUAAGACCCCUUGAAGACUACAAGGUUGAUAGGCUUCAGGUGUAAGUGCGGUAACGCACUCAGCUGAGAAGUACUAAUAGGUCGAGGACUUACCAA